rnacentral:rRNA from 1 species
CAGUAGCCGCGGUAAUACGUAGGGUGCAAGCGUUAAUCGGAAUUACUGGGCGUAAAGCGUGCGCAGGCGGUUAUAUAAGACAGAUGUGAAAUCCCCGGGCUCAACCUGGGAACUGCAUUUGUGACUGUAUGGCUAGAGUACGGCAGAGGGGGAUGGAAUUCCGCGUGUAGCAGUGAAAUGCGUAGAUAUGCGGAGGAACACCGAUGGCGAAGGCAAUCCCCUGGGCCUGUACUGACGCUCAUGCACGAAAGCGUGGGGAGCAAACAGGAUUAGAGACCCCUGUAGUCCCUGUCUCUUAUAA